UACGGGGGGAGCAAGCGUUGUUCGGAUUUACUGGGCGUAAAGGGCGCGUAGGCGGUCAGCACAAGUCAGUUGUGAAAUCUCCGGGCUUAACUCGGAAAGGUCAACUGAUACUGUGCGACUAGAGUGCAGAAGGGGCAACUGGAAUUCUCGGUGUAGCGGUGAAAUGCGUAGAUAUCGAGAGGAACACCUGCGGCGAAGGCGGGUUGCUGGGCUGACACUGACGCUGAUACGCGAAAGCCAGGGGAGCGAACGGG
rnacentral:rRNA from 1 species